ensembl:misc_RNA Metazoa_SRP Metazoan signal recognition particle RNA
GCCAGGUGUGGUGGCUCACACCUGUAAUCCCAGCACUUUGGGAGGCCGAGGUGGGUGGAUCACUUGAGGUCAGGAGUUCAAGACCAGCCUGGCCAACAUGGUGAAACCCCAUCUCUA